GAUGAACGCUGGCGGCGUGCUUAACACAUGCAAGUCGAACGGAAAGGCCCUGCUUUUGUGGGGUGCUCGAGUGGCGAACGGGUGAGUAACACGUGAGUAACCUGCCCUUGACUUUGGGAUAACUUCAGGAAACUGGGGCUAAUACCGGAUAGGAGCUCCUGCUGCAUGGUGGGGGUUGGAAAGUUUCGGCGGUUGGGGAUGGACUCGCGGCUUAUCAGCUUGUUGGUGGGGUAGUGGCUUACCAAGGCUUUGACGGGUAGCCGGCCUGAGAGGGUGACCGGCCACAUUGGGACUGAGAUACGGCCCAGACUCCUACGGGAGGCAGCAGUGGGGAAUAUUGCACAAUGGGCGGAAGCCUGAUGCAGCAACGCCGCGUGCGGGGUGACGGCCUUCGGGUUGUAAACCGCUUUCGCCUGUGACGAAGCGUGAGUGACGGUAAUGGGUAAAGAAGCACCGGCUAACUACGUG
rnacentral:rRNA from 1 species